rnacentral:tRNA from 1 species
AGAGGAUAGCUCAGUGGUAGAGCACAUGCUUAGCAUGUGUGAGGUCCUGGGUUCAAUCCCCAGUACCUCCU